rnacentral:rRNA from 1 species
UUGCUCUUCAACGAGGAAUGCCUAGUAAGCGUACGUCAUCAGCGUGCGUUGAUUACGUCCCUGCCCUUUGUACACACCGCCCGUCGCUACUACCGAUUGAAUGGCUUAGUGAGGCCUCCGGAUUGGCUUCUGGGAGCCGGCAACGGCACCUAGUCGCUGAGAAGUUGUACGAACUUGGUCAUUUAGAGGAAGUAAAAGUCGUAACAAGGUUUCCGUAGGUGAACCUGCGGAAGGAUCAUUAAUGAAAUGCAAGGACGCUCUUGUUAGAGGUCCGACCCAAUCAUUUACCUUUCACCCUGUGCACACACUAUUUUUACACCAUUUUAUAACACCUUAGUAUAAGAAUGUAAUCAAAGUCUCGAAAGAGCAAUAAAACAAAUAAAACUUUCAGCAACGGAUCUCUUGGCUCUCGCAUCAAUGAAGAACGCAGCGAAAUGCGAUACGUAAUGUGAAUUGCAGAAUUCAGUGGAUCAUCGAAUCUUUGAACGCACCUUGCACUCUUUGGUAUUCCGAAGAGUAUGUCUGUUUGAGUGUCAUGAAACUCUCAACCUCCUCAUUUUGUAAUGAAUUGAGCGUGGGCUUGGAUUAUGGCUGUCUGUCGGCUUGAUUGCCGGCUCGGCUGAAAUAUACGAGCAACCCAGUUUGAAUACUUGACGGCUUGACUCGGCGUAAUAACUAUUAUCGCUGAGGACGUCUACCUUUCGAAUGUGUAAGUGGUGCUUCUAAUGCGAAUCUUAGAUUCACUUAAGCUUUAGACCUCAAAUCAGUCAGGACUACCCGCUGAACUUAAGCAUAUCAAUAAGCGGAGGA